rnacentral:rRNA from 1 species
GAUAAUAAAUUAUUAAAUAGCAGCGGUAUUGAUGACCGUUCAAAGGUAGUGUAAUUUUUAGUCUAUUGAUUGUAGACCAAUGAAAGGAUUGACGGGCUGGAGUUGUCUCGUUUAUGUAUCUAGAAAUUAACCUCUAAGUGAAGAGGCUUAGGUUUUUUAAAGUGACGAGAAGACCCUGUCAAACUUUAAUUAUCAUAUAUAAAAGUGAAAAUAUAAAAUAUAAAUUAAUUUUAGUUGGGGCAACUGGGAGGGAUAAAAAUCUUUUAUUAAAUCAUUUAUAGUAAUAUUUAUAUUUAUGAUCCAAAUUAGUUAAUUUUG